rnacentral:rRNA from 1 species
AUGGAUCCCGCCGCCGACGACGGCCGCUCACCUUCACCCGUCACGGACCCAGACGACGGCGACGGCGGCAGCGACAAGCCGCCCACGCGCGUGGAGGUCGUCGGGAAGGCCGCCAUGGAACCCUCGCCGUCGCCGCCGGACUCCACCGUCUCCGACGACCAAGUCGCCCUCUCCUCUCCACCGGGCACGCCCGCCCUGGACCCAGAAGACGGCGGCGGCAGCGACGACCUGACGCGCGCCGUGUCCCUGCUGUCGCUCGCGGAGGCGGGGCUCACCCUCACCGCCCCCGCGCCGUGGAUCCGUCCUCCCACGGUCACCAAGGGUGACCAGGUGUCCGACUCUGAGGCCACAGUAGUGCUGGUGGUGCCUCAGCCCUGCUGCGGCAUGCUCAUCGGCAAAGGAGGAUCUGUUAUCAACCAAAAACUCCAAUGA